rnacentral:rRNA from 1 species
GACGAACGCUGGCGGCGUGCCUAAUACAUGCAAGUAGAACGCUGAAGGAGGAGCUUGCUCUUCUGGAUGAGUUGCGAACGGGUGAGUAACGCGUAGGUAACCUGCCUGGUAGCGGGGGAUAACUAUUGGAAACGAUAGCUAAUACCGCAUAAGAGUAGAUGUUGCAUGACAUUUGCUUAAAAGGUGCAAUUGCAUCACUACCAGAUGGACCUGCGUUGUAUUAGCUAGUUGGUGGGGUAACGGCUCACCAAGGCGACGAUACAUAGCCGACCUGAGAGGGUGAUCGGCCACACUGGGACUGAGACACGGCCCAGACUUCUACGGGAGGCAGCAGUAGGGAAUCUUCGGCAAUGGACGGAAGUCUGACCGAGCAACGCCGCGUGAGUGAAGAAGGUUUUCGGAUCGUAAAGCUCUGUUGUAAGAGAAGAACGAGUGUGAGAGUGGAAAGUUCACACUGUGACGGUAGCUUACCAGAAAGGGACGGCUAACUACGUG